AGGAUUGCAUAAAAUUAGGGUCAAAAAAUUGGAGAGACUUACUAUGUUCUGCAAGAACGGACAUUAUCUGAUUAGUAAUUGGGAAGUCUAAAAAUCUUUCUUACACCAAAUGAGAUUUUAGUCUAGUAGAUUUCCAGUCACUUAUAUCAAGUUGGAAAAAGAAAAAACAUUGGCAUGUUCCUUUUAAGCUUCUUAACUCCUGGCACAGUGUUACAGAACACAUAGCUUUACAACAUCAGAGCUCAAAGAUAGCUUGAGGCUGGAGAAGUUUAAGACACAAGUAUCUCAUCUGUCUUCACAUCUCUUUUCCUCUUGGUAAGAUAAUUUUAGGUAUGGUAACGUGAAAAGAUGGUUUUCUUACACCAUGAAGCCAGCAAACAGUAAUCUGUUUAAUGGAGAUGCUUACUGAGGCCCUAAAUCAAAACUGGAAAUCCGUGUUCGUGGCAUGGUGGAAGGCUGCAAAAAAGAGUUUAUAUACUAUCGUGGAAUGCAACUUGAGGGAAAAGAACAGACUGUGCAUGCAAAGAUAUAGUAUAACACAACUUGUGCUGUGCAAGAUAUUUCAAAGGACGACUCCACCCACUCAAAGCAACGGAAACAAUAGAAGAAGUCGAAAGCUCUGGGACACCAGAUGAUCAACCAUGGAGAUUCUGUAAGGGGAUGUUGUUUGUAACUGAUGAACCUCAAACCUUUUAGCAUAAAACUCCUUUGACUAAGAACCAUCAUGUGAGUUUUUAGCUGUUAGCGUUGCUUGUCCUACCUUGUGCAUCACAACAUACAGUGGAUAUAUCCUUACGAAGGUCUUGUAUUAAAAGGUAUGCUGCAGAAUGGCAACAAUAAUGCUAUUCUUAGAAAGCAAUUGACAUGGUUUCUCCUGCCUUUUGUUGCAUUAAUGCAGUGCUUUUUUCCUGCUGUUUUCAGUUUUAA